rnacentral:rRNA from 1 species
UACGUAGGGGGCAAGCGUUAUCCGGAUCUACUGGGUGUAAAGGGAGCGUAGACGGCAGAGCAAGUCUGAAGUGAAAGCCCGCGGCCUAACUGCGGGACUGCUUUGGAAACUGCCCGGCUAGAGUGCUGGAGAGGUAAGCGGAAUUCCUAGUGUAGCGGUGAAAUGCGUAGAUAUUAGGAGGAACACCAGUGGCGAAGGCGGCUUACUGGACAGUAACUGACGUUGAGGCUCGAAAGCGUGGGGAGCAAACAGG